UUAUUCAAAACAUUUUGAACCAUGUGUUGGAACUGUUGCUAUAUUUUAAGCUUAUUACCAACACUGUAGGAUGGAAUUUUGGUGACUGUAUAUUUGAUAAUUCUUAACUGAACUGAGGUAUGAGAAUAAAGUUAGAGAGUUGUUAUAAUAUACACUGUAAAAAAUAAGUGUCAUUUUAACUGUACAAUUUUGUAAAAACGCUACAAAAAAAAAAAGUGUUAAUAGGUUAACAGUAAGUUCCUGUACUAUAUACAGGGAAAAAACUGUAAAAGAUCUAACCAGACAUUUCAUGUAAUUUUACAGUAAAAUGCUGUUAAUUUUACAGUUUUUAGAAAUAAAAAAAGAACAAAUCAAUGUAUAAUUUACAGUCAAAAACUGUAAACUGAUAUUCCCAGAAUUCCCUGUGUGACGCUCCACAUUUGAAAGUAUUUUGUUUAAAUAAUCAUGUUUUUUAAUAGUUUUUUGUUAUCAGUUGUACAUUUGGGCUUUAUGUUACAUCUUCUGCUGUUUAAUGAAAGUUUAUUGAAUUGUUUAAGUAUCGUGUGUCACCAUGAUGGUGUUUUGUGUUUGCAUGAAUGACUUUGUGCACCUUCUAUAUAUUAAUAUAAACAAGGUGCACAAAGUCAUUCAUGCAAACACAAAACACCAUCAUGGUGACACACGAUACUUAAACAAUUCAAUAAACUUUCAUUAAACAGCAGAAGAUGUAACAUAAAGCCCAAAUGUACAACUGAUAACAAAAAACUAUUAAAAAACAUGAUUAUUUAAACAAAAUACUUUCAAAUGUGGAGCGUCACACAGGGAAUUCUGGGAAUAUCAGUUUACAGUUUUUGACUGUAAAUUAUACAUUGAUUUGUUCUUUUUAUUUCUAAAAAAACUGUAAAAUUAACAGCAUUUUACUGUAAAAUUACAUGAAAUGUCUGGUUAGAUCUUUUUACAGUUUUUUUCCCUGUAUAUAGUACAGGAACUUACUGUUAACCUAUUAACACUUUUUUUUUGUAGCGUUUUUACAAAAUUGUACAGUUAAAAUGACACUUAUUUUUUACAGUGCAUGUCACUCUGUGGCAGUGGCGGCACUAGGGUGGGACUCGACGGGGGUAUAGCCCCAUCAGAAACUUGCUUAGCCCCGGCACAGCCCCCAAGGAUUUCCUAAUGAAGUUCCUCUUUUUUAGUGUCACUUUCAUUAACACUGAAAAAUAAACAUUAAAAACCUAAAAAAGUGCCUAAUAUGUGGCCUAUAAACAACUGAUAUUAUGGGGGAGAAAUCAAGGAACACAGGCAAGCAAUGCAUGAAUUGUGCGCAAGAGUUAUGCCAGUAAACAUCAGUUAAUUCACUAUAGAGAAAAUGAAAAAAAUAAAAAAAUAAAACUGACAGCGCUUUCUAAUGCUUUAUUAACGGCGCAUAUUCUCUGAGACAACGAGAUAAGAAAAUACUUCAGCAUAUGCUGAUAACUGUAUAUAACUGUCUUAUUAUUCCCUUAAUAUUUCUCUUGUGGCCUGUGUAGUGAAAAACAUGAGAAGAAAUUUCACAUUAAACAGGUUGUUUUUGAAAAUCUGUGCAUGAAAUAAAGCUGCCCUUAAUUUUCAUUGAUGACUGCAGUGUUAAUCAUUUUAAUUAUAGGCCUAUAAUUCAUUGUAUAAAUAAAGAGACCUGUUAAAAAAAUAAAAAAAUGAAAAAAAAAAUUAAAAACAAUGAGUAAGCUAACAGCCUAAACUUUAAUUAUCCUCACAGAGUGUCAUGUGGUGAUGCGCUAUGCAAAUGCAACUCCUAUCUCUUUGAAUGUGGAAACAUCAAAUUCUACAAAACUGUUCACUAAGUGAUUAAAUUUGUGAUUAAAUUUCAUAUUUGAAAUCACCAAAUAAAUCUGAUAUCAACUGUGUCAUAAAUGUUGUUUAUUUUGUUCAAAUAGCAUUAUAAAA
ensembl:lncRNA